AGGAGAGUUUGAUCCUGGCAGAUGUUACUGCUAUUGGGAUUCGAUUAAGCCAUGCAAGUCGAACGAAUUUAGAUUCGUGGCGUACGGCUCAGUAACACGUGGAUAACCUACCCUUAGGACUGGGAUAACCCUGGGAAACUGGGGCUAAUACCGGAUAGGCAAUUAUUCCUGCAAUGGUUUUUUGUUUAAAUGUUUUUUCGCCUAAGGAUGGGUCUGCGGCCGAUUAGGUAGUUGGUUAGGUAAUGGCUUACCAAGCCGUUGAUCGGUACGGGUUGUGAGAGCAAGAGCCCGGAGAUGGAACCUGAGACAAGGUUCCAGGCCCUACGGGGCGCAGCAGGCGCGAAACCUCCGCAAUGUGAGAAAUCGCGACGGGGGGAUCCCAAGUGCCAUUCUUAACGGGAUGGCUUUUCAUUAGUGUAAAGAGCUUUUGGAAUAAGGGCUGGGCAAGACCGGUGCCAGCCGCCGCGGUAACACCGGCAGCUCUAGUGGUAGCAGUUUUUAUUGGGCCUAAAGCGUCCGUAGCCGGUUUAAUAAGUCUCUGGUGAAAUCCUGUAGCUUAACUGUGGGAAUUGCUGGAGAUACUAUUAGACUUGAGAUCGGGAGAGGUUAGAGGUACUCCCAGGGUAGAGGUGAAAUUCUGUAAUCCUGGGAGGACCGCCUGUUGCGAAGGCGUCUAACUGGAACGAUUCUGACGGUGAGGGACGAAAGUUAGGGGCGCGAACCGGAUUAGAUACCCUGGUAGUCCCCU
rnacentral:rRNA from 1 species